rnacentral:lncRNA from 1 species
UCCCUGCAGGCAUGCCCUCAGAACUUUUAAUCUUUAUGAAACAUUUGAAGACCUCGAGAAAGGACAAUACCCUUGGUUCUAUACAGAUGCUGUCAUGAAUUCAUCUUAUAUCAGUUUCAUAAAUCUGAGAAAACAAACUAGAGAGAAGGCAACACAUAUUUCAUUUUAGCUGUGAGCAACUUCCAUUGUGAAUCAAGGAUUCAUUCAAAAUACAUCUGGUAUGAGGUUUUGCUUUUCACAGAAUGGCAACAUCUAACCUCAUCACACAGAAUCCAUGUAGUCAAAUACCAUUGAGGAUAGUUGUGUGGUCACUAUGUUGUAAUAUCAGACAAAGAUGACAGUGAAUCUGCA